AUGGUGUUUCAAAUUCCUUCUGCAUGCCCUGUGUUUGCUAGGGUCUUUGCUCUAUCUAGAUCAGAGCCUAAACACACACGUGAGACUCUAGCCUACAUGUAUUUAGCACAGAGACUCAAGACUGAGUACAGCCAAAUUCUAAACAAAGCAAACAAAACUCAAAAACACUUGUAUGUAUUUUUCCAUCUCUUUUCUUCCCUCAUCACUGUUCUUGAUUACUGUUUAUUUUUCAAUAUUUCUCAGCAACAGAAGCAGUUUUGUUUCCGAUCUGUUGAGUUUCAUUUUAAAUUAUUUGUAUCAUCUAUUUUGGUAUUUUGAGGAAAGAGCUGUAAAAUGGGAUUCCAGGGACCGAGCCUAUAAUUUUGUACCUUAAGUAGUAAGGGUUUGAGUCAUUUUCUGCUAAGUAGGGUUUUGCCCAAAGUGGCAAGGAGUUCACAUGCUCUAUUCAUCCUCUUUUUUUUAUUUACCUUGUGAUCCUAUGUGCGAAUCAACCGAAGACUGGGGAGGACAAGGGUCAGCGCAGGGGGUGGGUAGUGACGGCUGCUAACUUGUAGGACUGACUCAGCCACUGGUCACAUCAAUGACUCCUCCCUUAUAGUCUCAAGGUCUCUAUUUUUACAAAGGUCUCCUAUAAACACAGAAAAUGUAUGCAGUAAUAUUCUAGAUUCUAUGGAGGAUACAAGAUGUUUAAAUAUAGCCUAACCUCUUUUUCUGUUAUACAAAAGUAAGCUUUUGUUGUCUUUAAGAACUUCUGUUGAACAGGAACCUCCUUUUAUCAAACUUUUAAAAAAGAAAACAAUGACAAAAGGUAAGGACAUAAAAGCUAUAAGCCUCAGCCAAUGUUUGCAUCACCACCAACUGAAUUUGUUUGGCCAGUGGAUCAAAUGCUUUUGCCAAGGUGAAUUCACCCUGUCAGACAUCCCCUGGUCUUCGAGACAGCUUAAGAGCUGCUGUACAAUCCCUGCCAGGGCUACUGUAGCAAAAAUGUUCUUGGCUUGCCAAUGUCGUCUGCAUUUGUUUGGUUAAAGGGCCCAAAUAGCCCCUAGGAGGCAGCAGGAGAGGUCCCUCAGGCAAGGGUGAAAGGCUAAGAAAGCAAAAUAGUGCACAAAUACCAGUAAUUGGAGACAAGGAAUUGGAUAGAAUAUACCUAUCAGUGUCUUACAGAUAGCCUUGUUUUCUUAAAAUAGCUAUUUGGAAAUAGUGUGAAGCAUUAAAAGUAUGCUUUAAAAAAAU
rnacentral:lncRNA from 1 species